UAUACAUGCAAGUCGAGCGGACAGAUGGGAGCUUGCUCCCUGAUGUUAGCGGCGGACGGGUGAGUAACACGUGGGUAACCUGCCUGUAAGACUGGGAUAACUCCGGGAAACCGGGGCUAAUACCGGAUGGUUGUUUGAACCGCAUGGUUCAGACAUAAAAGGUGGCUUCGGCUACCACUUACAGAUGGACCCGCGGCGCAUUAGCUAGUUGGUGAGGUAACGGCUCACCAAGGCAACGAUGCGUAGCCGACCUGAGAGGGUGAUCGGCCACACUGGGACUGAGACACGGCCCAGACUCCUACGGGAGGCAGCAGUAGGGAAUCUUCCGCAAUGGACGAAAGUCUGACGGAGCAACGCCGCGUGAGUGAUGAAGGUUUUCGGAUCGUAAAGCUCUGUUGUUAGGGAAGAACAAGUGCCGUUCAAAUAGGGCGGCACCUUGACGGUACCUAACCAGAAAGCCACGGCUAACUACGUGCCAGCAGCCGCGGUAAUACGUAGGUGGCAAGCGUUGUCCGGAAUUAUUGGGCGUAAAGGGCUCGCAGGCGGUUUCUUAAGUCUGAUGUGAAAGCCCCCGGCUCAACCGGGGAGGGUCAUUGGAAACUGGGGAACUUGAGUGCAGAAGAGGAGAGUGGAAUUCCACGUGUAGCGGUGAAAUGCGUAGAGAUGUGGAGGAACACCAGUGGCGAAGGCGACUCUCUGGUCUGUAACUGACGCUGAGGAGCGAAAGCGUGGGGAGCGAACAGGAUUAGAUACCCUGGUAGUCCA
rnacentral:rRNA from 1 species